ensembl:misc_RNA Metazoa_SRP Metazoan signal recognition particle RNA
GCCGGGUGUGGUGACGUGCACCUGUAGUCCCAGCUCCUCGGGAGGCUGAGGUGGGAGAAUUGCUAGAGCCCAGGAGGCUGAGGCUGCAGUGAGCCAUGAUGGUGCCACUGCACUCCAGCCUGGGUGACAAAGUAAGACCCUGUCUCAA